GAUGAACGCUGGCGGCGUGCCUAAUACAUGCAAGUCGAGCGAACAGACGAGGAGCUUGCUCCUCUGACGUUAGCGGCGGACGGGUGAGUAACACGUGGAUAACCUACCUAUAAGACUGGGAUAACUUCGGGAAACCGGAGCUAAUACCGGAUAAUAUAUUGAACCGCAUGGUUCAAUAGUGAAAGACGGUUUUGCUGUCACUUAUAGAUGGAUCCGCGCCGCAUUAGCUAGUUGGUAAGGUAACGGCUUACCAAGGCAACGAUGCGUAGCCGACCUGAGAGGAUGAUCGGCCACACUGGAACUGAGACACGGUCCAGACUCCUACGGGAGGCAGCAGUAGGGAAUCUUCCACAAUGGGCGAAAGCCUGACGGAGCAACGCCGCGUGAGUGAUGAAGGUCUUCGGAUCGUAAAACUCUGUUAUUAGGGAAGAACAAAUGUGGAAGUAACUAUGCACGUCUUGACGGUACCUAAUCAGAAAGCCACGGCUAACUACGUG
rnacentral:rRNA from 1 species